AUUGAACGCUGGCGGCAUGCCUUACACAUGCAAGUCGAACGGCAGCGGACCUUCGGGUGCCGGCGAGUGGCGAACGGGUGAGUAAUGCAUCGGAACGUACCUUUCAGUGGGGGAUAACGUAGCGAAAGUUACGCUAAUACCGCAUAUUCUGUGAGCAGGAAAGCAGGGGAUCGCAAGACCUUGCGCUGAUUGAGCGGCCGAGGUCAGAUUAGCUAGUUGGUGAGGUAAAGGCUCACCAAGGCGACGAUCUGUAGCGGGUCUGAGAGGAUGAUCCGCCACACUGGGACUGAGACACGGUCCAGACUCCUACGGGAGGCAGCAGUGGGGAAUUUUGGACAAUGGGGGCAACCCUGAUCCAGCCAUGCCGCGUGAGUGAAGAAGGUCUUCGGGUUGUAAAGCUCUUUCGGCCGGGAAGAAAUCGCACGGGCUAAUACCCUGUGUGGAUGACGGUACCGGAAUAAGAAGCACCGGCUAACUACGUGCCAGCCGCCGCUGUAAUAC
rnacentral:rRNA from 1 species